AACGAACGCUGGCGGCAGGCCUAACACAUGCAAGUCGAGCGAGGUAGCAUACCUAGCGGCGGACGGGUGAGUAACGCGUGGGAACGUGCCCCUUGGUACGGAAUAGCCCCGGGAAACUGGGAGUAAUACCGUAUGAGCUCUACGGAGGAAAGAUUUAUCGCCAAGGGAUCGGCCCGCGUUGGAUUAGGUAGUUGGUGGGGUAAUGGCCUACCAAGCCGAUGAUCCAUAGCUGGUUUGAGAGGAUGAUCAGCCACACUGGGACUGAGACCCGGCCCAGACUCCUACGGAAGGCAGCAGGGGGGAUUCUUAGGCAAUGGGCGCAAGCCUGAUCUAGCCAUGCCGCGUGAGCGAUGAAGGCCUUAGGGUUGUAAAGCUCUUUCAGCUGGGAAGGUAAUGACUGUACCAGCAGAAGAAGCCCCGGCUAACUCCGUGCCAGCCGCCGCAGUAA
rnacentral:rRNA from 1 species